rnacentral:rRNA from 2 species
AGACCCGAAACCCGGUGAUCUAGCCAUGGGCAGGUUGAAGGUUGGGUAACACUAACUGGAGGACCGAACCGACUAAUGUUGAAAAAUUAGCGGAUGACCUGUGGCUGGGGGUGAAAGGCCAAUCAAACCGGGAGAUAGCUGGUUCUCCCCGAAAGCUAUUUAGGUAGCGCCUCGUGAAUUCAUCUCCGGGGGUAGAGCACUGUUUCGGCUAGGGGGCCAUCCCGGCUUACCAACCCGAUGCAAACUGCGAAUACCGGAGAAUGUUAUCACGGGAGACACACGGCGGGUGCUAACGUCCGUCGUGAAGAGGGAAACAACCCAGACCGCCAGCUAAGGUCCCAAAGUCAUGGUUAAGUGGGAAACGAUGUGGGAAGGCCCAGACAGCCAGGAUGUUGGCUUAGAAGCAGCCAUCAUUUAAAGAAAGCGUAAUAGCUCACUGGUCGAGUCGGCCUGCGCGGAAGAUGUAACGGGGCUAAACCAUGCACCGAAGCUGCGGCAGCGAACGUAUCACCCAAGACAACUUUACGGAGUUGACGAUUGACGGAGCGAAGCGACGUCAAAGCGUUCAUUAAAGUCGAGUUGGCUUAGGGAUACGUUCGUUGGGUAGGGGAGCGUUCUG